CUAUAUAUGAAAGAAGGUUCAAAACGAACACAAUCACGGUGUCCACGUCGCCCAAAAUAACACUACGCGUCUGAUUUGCAUCCAACGGAUGAGCGCGUCCAACAACACCGCCCGCAGCCUCGUUUUAUGUUUCUGGAAUCACUCGCUCCACUCUCUCUCUCUUGUUCUCUACGCCUCUCGAUUCUUCUCGCCGACGCCUUCUCUCUCAGUGACUCUUUUCACCUUCGCGCUACAGUUCUUCCUCCUCGCUCUCACAGCCUCUUCAUCGCGAUGAUUUUCUUUGGCCUGCGAAGCACCGCUCCCACGCAUUCCUCCUAGAAGCAUCGCGAGAGUGCGAGACACAAAUCUUUCAAAAGAAAAAAAAACGUUGUUGUCGCUGGAGUUUACGAGUUCUGUUUUCGUCGCCUGGAUGAGGUGAGGCGACGCUGCGAUGGAGAUGAGGUCGCGUUGAGGAGGUGAGGCGACGGAGACAAAGUGAAAACACAAAAAGAGGUAUGUUCUCCUUCCCUUCGGCGAUGUCUACCGCUGCAUUUCGGCCCCCUCCCCACCAUUCGGCGUUGGAUUUUGCAUAGCCCUUGAUGCUAGGGUUCUGUGUUUUUUUGUAUUCUCUUCGUUCUUCACUCCUUGACGCCGAGGAUGGCUCAUCCGGUGAAUCGCUGCAAUUCUCUAGUCUAGUGUUCAUGAUGAGAUGCAGAGACGUAAGCUGGUAUAGUGUACGCGACUGUGUUAACUGCUCGUGCUUUGCGCUGAUGGUCCUCCCCCUUUCUCUGACCAGGGCAACGUCUAGAAUAGGAUGCUGCCAAGUGGUAGCAGUAAAUUGGUUCAUGCGUUGUAGCUGUUCGAUGUUAUGCCCUAGCUGAAUGUGGUCUUGUGACGCAUAAAAAAGAGGCAAUUUAGGUGUUGAUUGUUCACAGGAAGGUUAGGAUUUAGUUAUCAAAAGAAGUCUUCGAAAGCAUAUACACAACAAUAUAGGAAGCUAUUUUUGGUGCCCCUACCAUGUAAGGUGAUACUAGACUUGAAGAACAUUGCCUUGGUCGACCUAAUUAAGCUCCAACCUAAAAUAAAUAGGUUUAUGUUAGCAGAAAAUUUUAACGAUCAUGCAUGCACACACAUGUAUAUGUUUCUAAUAGUUGGUUAAUAUGUGCCUUUGAUUUCUUACCAAUGUAUUGUACUUAACGUUCUUUACUUUUUCUAUCACACAUUUUUACAACAUUAAAUCUGAUUGGUACUAACCUUUUCAGAAUGCUUGUGUUGUAGUUGAAGAACAACUUUAGGACCAUGUGACGCUUUGAAGAAUAACUAAUUUAUAUAAAAAGGUGAAUUUCCCACUCCUUUUUUGAGAAAAGGUUUGCUGCUUAUAUUACUAUUUUCUUUGCUGGAAUCAAAUGAAAAAAAUAAAGUUUACCAGCCUCUUUGUCACAUGAAAAUUUUAUUGUUUUAUUAUUAAUGUUGAUAUGCUGGUGAUAUUUAGUUGAUUGCAUUCACCUGAGAACUAAUACUAUCCCUCACCUCUCUUUACCAUGGAAAUCUUAGGAGGUGUUUGGUUGGAUUGUUUUGGUCUGUUAAUGAUUUACAGCGUGAUCCGGUUACGUUUGUUGCUAUUUGUUUUGGCCGUGAUGUAAUCGAUUCAUGCAGCAUCAGUUACGACGCUUCAGAUUGGCGAUCCCGCCAGUCUUGCGGCACUAUCCCAUUACGACCAUGUCCCUCCUCUCCGCUUGAGCAAACCAAACAAUUGACGCUUUUCAUUGCAUCUCGUAACAACUAGCGCCGUCAUUUGAUUCCAUUUAUGUUGCCGCUCCCAAAACACAACCAAACAGCAAGUUAGUGUUAUGCUAAAUAUGCUGCUAACGCCGACAAAAAAGGCUUCAAAACAAGUAUGUACCUCGGUCUUAUAUGUAGAUUUAUAUUUAUCUCAUUAUAUAUUUGUUUCUUUGUAUAUAUAUAUGGUACAUACCUAGCCAUGACAUAAGCAAUUAUAUAGUUCUAAUGCUUUAACGUUCUUACAUUACAAUCGUUUUGGUUAUGUAUUAUCUUUAGAGUUACAACUAUUUCAUUUUCAUUAUUAAACUUUUCAAAUUCAAUGUUCUCAAAAUGUACCACAUGAAAAUUUUGUUGAUCUAUUUUUUAUGCUGAUAGAAAAGGAAGAAUUCGAGGAAUAUAAGCAUAAGGAGUCAUGACUCCACCCUAUCCAUGAAUAUUAUAAGAAUUUCUAUAUUACAAUCGCGGUAGGAAACGGCGCUUCAAAGACUAUCCACGUCAGCUUCUAAUUUAUCAUCUGUUGGAUACUACAUCAACGGCAAAGCGCAGCAGCCAAAAAACCAAGUGUUGACCAUCAGUCUAGAGACUUCCACAAGCUCCACGAAACAAACCUUCAGACCCUUCAUCCUCGCCUUUUCACGCGCUCAGAUCCCCGAUGAUGCGUUACAAUGCAUCCUUGUGCUCCUCGCGUCCCUCGCCGCUGCCAUCGCCGCAGCAUCCUCGCACACUCACUCGCUCUCGUGCUCUGCCUCGGCCUGCCACCACCACCACCAUCUCGCCUGCUGCUCGCCAAUGGCCCCUGCCUCGUCGCUGGUUGCAGGCUCCUCCACUCACUCCGUCGCCUCCGCCACAUCCUCGGGAUAUGAUGCUCUGUCCCCUUCGGAUCCGGCUAUGAUUCUUGUCCCUCGCGGCGCUCAAGUGGCCCCGCAUGCCACUCUCCUAGCGUCAUUCGUCGCCCCCUCUGCGCACGGCGGUGUCGGCGUCUCCAAGUGCCUCUUCGUGAUGUUUUCCAUCGAUGAGUGUGGCAUGUCAUGCGAGAUGUCUCCCCCUUCUUCUUGACCGGUUUAACUGCAACAUAAUGUUCAUGUGGAGAACAGGCAAGUCUUAUGGCGUUCAAGUGGCAAUGGAUUUAUUGAUGGGACUAUCCUUUUAACCUGCAAAUGGUUGGAAUGACUAGAGCAGGAGAUAUUGUUGUUGGAGAAUUGGGCUUCUUUGCUAUAGGCCUCAAGUAUUCACAUUUCGAACAAAAUCAUUACGCCUGCAGGCAGAUAUGCAUACGGAUGGGGACAUACUGCUGAAAUCAGAGUUGAUCGAUCCAUCCUCAAGGAGCCUGCACCAGACCUUUAGUUUUGGACAGGAAAGAAAACCCUAAUGAGGGUGUCCUGCUGAAGCAAGUGCCUACUACCAUGAUGCAUUGUCUUCAGUUGGAUUCAUACCUGUAGAGUGUCAAGUUUGUACGCUGCUUCACAAGUCCCUGUUGUAUCCAAACUUGACUAGGACAACUUGAUCUUAGUCUGCUCAAAAGAGAAGUUGCAAGAACAACUUGAUGUGCUUGAUCGCCAAUGUGAUAUGUAAGUAUCUUCACAAAUUGGUCCAUGUAGUUUAAAUGUAGUUGUCAUGUAUUUUAGCUUUCAAAGGGACAACCUUGCAGGUAUUGGUUGUCUUUUAUAGAUUGCAAACUCCUAAAGAGUACACAUCCCGGCAGAUGGCACUUCUUGGCCAGUUCUGUACAUAGAAAUGCACACAAGAUUUAACAUUGCUGUUUGACCGAACAUUAUCCAUCUACUUUCAACACAUCAAUAACACAACAAAUAAAUAGUUAAUAGGUUAUUAUGAUUUCUCAUAUAUGACCUUAUGAAUUGAGAAGGGGCUACCCAGUCCAUUGCUUCGUGCUACUAGAUCUGACAAUUUCAUGUUCGGAUUCUCCAUCAGUUCCACAUGUCUUUCUGAUACUAUUGCUUACCUUCUACCUUUUGCAUUGUAACGUUAAAUUAUUUUAGGCUCUCAAAUUCCUACAUUUAGCUGCUAGAUGUUGUCCAGUGUUGAAAACUACAUCACACAAUCAUCGCUAUAUUAAUAUAGCAAUAAAGAGGUCUAGAUUAAAUCAUAAACUGAACAAGGUGUGCACCACGGGUUAAUACCGAACUCAAGCCAAUAGUGCACCAGGCACCAAACAAACUACCUUAUGCUUUCAAGGGGCAAGAAAGUUUCUAAAUCUUCAUCCACCUGAACCUCCCUGAUGCUUCGUCGCCAUAUUCACUCCAAAGAAAAAAAAUACUUUUUGCAAUAAAGUAGAUGUGUAUUUUAAUGUCCUAAAAUAACAUUAUUGCCCUUUAUGUAAUAUUCCUGAAAUUGUGUGUCUUUCCUUCGUCUUUCUCAAAGCUUAGAAAUAUUCUAAAGGAAUUGUUGAUUUUUAUCUUUGGUUUGUUUGCGCCAAAACGAAUGAUUAUAAUGUUAUAUUAUAUAUGUACCUUCAUGUGUAACGAUUCUCCUUUGCAUAUAUAUAAAUCUGUUUGAUCAUAUAGAAACAACGCGCGUGAGGCACGCGUUAGACACUAGUCGUGAUUAAGCCAGAGAGAUGGAGAGAGUACAACGAGGUAUUUGAAAAUCACCGCCAUGCUUAGGGAUGGCAACCGGGAAAUCCCCGUCAGGUUUUGGCUUCCCAUACCUGUCCCCGCGACAAAAAAAUUCCCCGCGGGGAUCCCCACGAAUUCUUGCGGGGGGCAUUUCUUCCCCAUCCCCGUUCCCCGCAGGGAUAAAUCCUCAUCGGGGAUCCCCGUCCCCGCUUAAAUUAUAACUAGGUGUGUGCCCGUGCGUUGCAACGGGAACAUAUAAUAUCAUGAUAACUUAUAUAUAAAUGUGUUACAUUGUUAUGAGAAGAUUUUGUAAUCCAUUGGUGAUCCUGGCUAUACAUAUAAAUUUUGUUAUUUUAAUCUACUUGUUUCACCACUACAUUGCAACCAUCAAUAUCAUGCAGACCUAUAUAUAUGAUAGUUAGGUGUCUGUGCGUUGCGACGACUCACAAAUCUAUUACUACUCUAUAACACCCUAUUGUAGGCGUUCACAAGUGCACCGUGGUUCUGCCCGUCCUCCCCCUCGUGCAAUCCCAGGAAUCAUCGCCACUCUCAUUAAUGAGCCUUACAAUAGCCUCAUAUAACAGUAUGCCAGCAAGUAGCCAUAUGAGCUGAAUGGAGACCAAGGCACCAAUAAUCUCAAUCUAGAAGAACCCAUAUGAUUGUUGUGGUGUUGCUUCCCAUCCAGCAGCCCAGAGAGAGAAUAACGAUAAUGGCAAAUGCUGCCACAUCAGAAAGGUGUGCCGCAUCAGUUAAGAUGGCAAGAUUGUUUGCUUUGAUGCCCCCGACCACUUCCACCGUCAUGAAUAUGAUGCAAAGGAUAACUGCGAUUAUAAGCUUCCUCAUGGACGUGGAUCUCUCCUUGGCAUCUUUCGAGGAGUUACUGGAAUCAGAGAAAUAACAGGCAGCACCCUUGCACAAUUUGUUCCCUGCUGCAACAGAAGCUGAUGCUGAGAUGUCUAUUUUCACUUCAGCAAUCUGAGAAUGUAAUGGAUUAUGGUUUUUCAUCUGAA